GUUCUGUGAAGACGCUAGAAGGGAGAAACCGAGCACGCCCUGUGUAUUGGCUGUGUCUGAGAGCUUUCACGGGGAGGUGCACAGAGCGCUCCCCGUCUUAUCAAUUCCAUUCUCCCAGGGCCCUGAGGAGACGUGAUCAAAUGAGGGCUUUGCCUUGGUGAAUCCAAAGAACAGCGGAAGCACGUUGGUCCACAGUGGGGAGUAACGGGAAGAAAGCGACUGUUGCCUUGGCUUGGUUUCUCAAGUGUCUCAACAUCCAAAUUUCAAGGGUAGGCCAUGAGAAGGUAUAGGAAGCAAUUUGAACUGAAGAAAUGAAGAAUCAGCAAAAUUAAGAACAAAAUUCAAGUCCAGUGUAUAAACAGUAGCCUAACAAAAGUCAGAGUAUGAAAUCGCAAAUCUGUGUAAGUGCAAAAUGCAGUGGAGAAAAAGAGCAGAUGUGUAACAAAGACAUCUUCUGUGGAUGGGAUUCUCUUUUAUUGAUGUGGCCACAACCGGUCAGGCCGAGAGAAGUCCUCAGACUCAGAGAUGCUGGUGAGACAGAAAUGAUUGUACAGGUGGGUGCUGGAACUCCAAAGAUGCUGCGACAGUCUAGCUCAGUGACCAGCAGACACUUUCAGAGGGAUGGAGCCUCACUGUGUGGGAGAAUAUCGGAAUCAGAAGCCAACUUGCGUAAAGCAGCUGCCCUGUGCAGGUCUCUGCCAUCUCCCUCACUGCACAGCUGCAAAAUGGAUGCUCUGGACACACACCUCCACCGGGAAGCACACGCGCAGGGAAACCCUUGAUGGGGUGGGGACUGGAGAGGAGAGCGCACCAAAGCUGUUGAACUGUCACUCAUGCAUGUGAUCUCAAGAUGUCCCUCUGAGUAGUCGAUGGCGUGUGCAGUGUGCUGCUGGUGCCUGUUGUCGAGCUCGUCUUUCUCACAUGGAUGCAAGACUUGGUUUGAGCUCUGCAUAUGAAGGGGCUCUGCCUAACUGUACAGCAAGACACCUGUUAGAGGGCUCUGGUGAUGGUGCCUGCCACUGAUACUGUGUGACAUCCAAGAGCGACAUCAUAAAGGAAUUUCACCUAUAGCUUAUUCUUCUCAUUCCUCAACCAUCGUAUUUGUCAUUAACUAGUGGCCAGAUUUACAAGCUUCUCAGUACAUGUGUGGCUUGACCUGCUCUGCAGGGAAAGCUGUAAUCUUGAAUGCUGUUUCUGUGGCUUUGGUCUUUUUUCCUCCUUUGAUGCCUCCAUGCCACUCACAGCUCUUGACUACUUUUGGAUUCUUGAUGGAAAUCAUCAUUGAUGGCAGAUUCACUUCUCAUAAUUUGUGUUCGUACUAGAGUCCUGUCAUUAUUAACAAUCAUCGUGUUGGAGUAUGGAG
rnacentral:lncRNA from 1 species